AACGAACGUUAGCGGCGCGCCUAACACAUGCAAGUCGAGCGAGAAAGGGCUUCGGCCCCGGUAAAGCGGCGCACGGGUGAGUAACACGUGGAUAACCUACCCCUUGGUGGUGGAUAACCUUCCGAAAGGAGGGCUAAUACAGCGUAAGACCACGACUUCGAAAGAGGUUGAGGUAAAAGUGGGCCUCUGUACACAAGCUCACGCCAGGGGAUGGGUCCGCGGCCCAUCAGCUAGUUGGUAGGGUAACGGCCUACCAAGGCGAAGACGGGUAGCUGGUCUGAGAGGAUGAUCAGCCACACUGGAACUGAGACACGGUCCAGACUCCUACGGGAGGCAGCAGUGGGAAUCUUGCGCAAUGGACGAAAGUCUGACGCAGCGACGCCGCGUGAGUGAUGAAGGCCU
rnacentral:rRNA from 1 species